rnacentral:rRNA from 1 species
UACAGAGGUCCCAAGCGUUGUUCGGAUUCACUGGGCGUAAAGGGUGCGUAGGCGGCCGGGACAGUCUGAGGUGAAAUCUCCAAGCUCAACUUGGAAAUGGCCUUGGAUACUAUCCGGCUUGAGGAAUGGAGGGGAGACUGGAAUUCUCGGUGUAGCAGUGAAAUGCGUAGAUAUCGAGAGGAACACCAGUGGCGAAGGCGAGUCUCUGGACAUUUCCUGACGCUGAGGCACGAAAGCCAGGGGAGCAAACGGG